AACUGAGACAAAACAAAAUAUACAUACGUAUAGAUACAAAACAAUUAUCACUUUUCAAACUGUUCAUCUCUCUCUCAAACACAAGAUAUAAUCACCAAAAGCUCUACUCACUUGCUUGUAUUCUUCGAUUUCUCACCGUUUCUGCAACUUUUACAAGCUAAACUCCUUCGUUUUGAACAAAUUUUGCAGAUUCUCGGGAAAAUCGUAGUGGAGAUCAACAUCCUACUUAAACGGAAGGAGAUUACCUUCAAAUUCUUCAAAUAGGUACCAAAUCCUCUAUUCGACCUUGCUGGUAUAAUGUUUGGACAAUUUGGAAUUCCUUUCUGGGAGUUUUUUCUGGCUACAUUGGUUGAAAAAGCAAUUAUUAAAACUCACUUACAGGUUUGUGAAGGUCUUUUCUUCACAAAAGAUAGACUCCUGAUGUACCUGCAAUUACUACCAAAGUAGUUGGCUUGAGAAAUGUUGUGUCAACCCUUGGCUAGUACCAAAUCUUCUGUUCCUGGUAUAAUGUGUGGAAAAUUUGGAAUUCCUUUUUGGGUGUUUUUUCUACCUACAUUGGUUGGAAAAGCAAUUAUUAAAACUCACUUACAGUUUUGUGAAGGUCUUUUCUUCACAAAAGUUUAUGCUCAGCUGGAAUUUGAGGCUAGCUAUGUUUAUGAGGAUGUUAAUCGUUCAAUUCAGUAUGUUCAUCGAAGUGGUUUGGUUCAUAGAGGAAUUCUAUAUGAUACUUAAAGAUACCUUGUAAAAAAUCAGUGUCUUAUGUGGUGUCACGUGUGUAACACGCAUGGCCAGCUUCUGCAAUUAUUAAGAACAGAGUUCCCCAACAGCAUAGAGCUUGGGAUAUUCUAAAGGAGCCGGGAAAGAAGCUUUUCUUGAUGACUAACUCGCUAUAUUAUUUUGGUGAUGGAGGAAUGCGCUUUAUGUUGGAGGUAAUUAGUGUAAUAUUGCAUCUUGCAAAUUUACCAUGGAUGCCUCAAAAGUUUCUUACAAAUCACAAAGUGGAAAGGUCCUGAGGUGAUUUACUUUGGGGAUCACCUUUUCAGCGACCUAAAAGGACCGAUGGCUGCUGCAAUAAUCCACGAACUAGAAGUAUGACUUCCAUCAUUCGCCCAAGUUUGGGCCCAUUUGGGCGCAGCAAUUCAAAGUAGCCAAAGCUUAAUCUGUACCAAUACCUAAAAUAUUUUUAUAGGAAGUGCGGAAUUUGCUUACCAAACAAGACUUUGUAAUGUUUGAGGAACAAUGUCUAAUUCAUACUUUUCAUACUAUUUGGAUAUCUUUUGAUCCAAAAACCAUAAUUGUUAAUUAAGUUUGUGAUUAGUACUGAUUGUUGGUUUAAUUAUUUGUGAUUGAUACUACAAUUACUAGUGAUUGGUGGUGUAUAAAACUGUGAUUAGUGCUUCUGCUUGUAGUGAUUACUGAU